AUAUAAAAUCGAGCCUGCUCAAUGAUAAUAUUAAAUAGCCGCGGUAUAUUGACCGUGCGAAGGUAGCAUAAUCAUUUGUUUUUUAAUUGGGGACUGGAAUGAAAGGUUUGACGAAAGAAAAGCUGUCUUUUGAUAAUAGAAUUGAAAUUUUUGUUUAUGUGAAAAAACAUAAAUUUAGCUAAAAGAAGAGAAGACCCUAUUAAGUUUUAUAGUAAAAUUUAUGUAUGAGGAUGUAAAUAGAUUGAUAUAGUGGUUUUAUUAUUUUACUGGGGCGGUAAUGAAAGAAUAAAAUCUUUUAAAGGUAAAAAAGGAAGUUAUUUUAAUGGAGAGGAUCCAUAAGGAGAAUGAUAGUUAGAUUAAAUUACUAUAGGGAUAACAACGUGAAAUGUUUGGAGAGUUCAUAUUGAUAAAUAGUUUUGCGACCUCGAUGAUGAAUUAGGUAGUCUUUUUGGUGUAGAAGCUAAAUAGAGAGAGUCUGUUCGACUUUUUAAAAACUUACGUGAUC
rnacentral:rRNA from 1 species